ACACACACACACACACACACAGAGUUUUACAAAGACAGGGUGAAUCAAAGGUGUGUGUGUGUGUGUGUGUGU